GGCCCCGUAGCUCAGUGGUUAGAGCGCCGCCCUGUCACGGCGGAGGUCACCGGUUCAAGUCCGGCCGGGGUCGCCA
rnacentral:tRNA from 1 species